rnacentral:lncRNA from 1 species
AAUUUGUUUAUUAUAUGCUAAUAUUUUUCAUUCCCUGCUAAUAUUUUUCACUUGUCUUCUACUCUUAGCCCCCAUUCACUGGGGAGAAUAGAAAGAAAACAACUGACAGCAUCCUCAAAUGUAAACUCAAUUUGCUCAAUUUGCCUCCCUACCUCACACAAGAAGCCAGAGAUCUGCUUAAAAAGCUGCUUCUCGUCUGGGAGCUGGUCCUGGGGACGCUGGAGAAGUUCAAGCUCAUCCAUUCUUUAGACACAUUAACUGGGAAGAACUUCUGGCUGGAAAGGUGGAGCCCCCCCCCACUUUAAACCUCUGUUGCAAUCUGAAGAGGAUGUGAGUCAGUUUGAUUCCAAGUCUACACAUCAGACACCUGUCGACAGCCCAGAUGACUCAACUCUCAGUGAAAGUGCCAGUCAGG